rnacentral:tRNA from 1 species
GGAGAGGUGUCCGAGAGGCUGAAGGAGCACGCUUGGAAAGCGUGUAGGUGGCCUUAAAACCGCCUCGGGGGUUCGAAUCCCUCCCUCUCCG